UGGGGAAUUUUGGACAAUGGGGGCAACCCUGAUCCAGCAAUGCCGCGUGUGUGAAGAAGGCCUUCGGGUUGUAAAGCACUUUUGUCCGGAAAGAAAGCAUCCCUGUUAAUACCGGGGUUGGAUGACGGUACCGGAAGAAUAAGCACCGGCUAACUACGUGCCAGCAGCCGCGGUAAUACGUAGGGUGCGAGCGUUAAUCGGAAUUACUGGGCGUAAAGCGUGCGCAGGCGGUGAUGUAAGACCGAUGUGAAAUCCCCGGGCUUAACCUGGGAACUGCAUUGGAGACUGCAUCGCUAGAGUAUGGCAGGGGGGGGGGGAAUUCCACGUGUAGCAGUGAAAUGCGUAGAGAUGUGGAGGAACACCGAUGGCGAAGGCAGCCCCCUGGGCCAAUACUGACACUCAUGCACGAAAGCGUGGGGAGCAAACAGG
rnacentral:rRNA from 1 species